rnacentral:rRNA from 1 species
UACGAAGGGGGCUAGCGUUGUUCGGAAUUACUGGGCGUAAAGGGCGCGUAGGCGGCUCUGGUCGUCGGAUGUGAAAGGCCUGGGCUCAACCUGGGAAUGGCAUCCGAUACGGCGGGGCUGGAGUGUGGGAGAGGUUGGUGGAAUUCCCAGUGUAGAGGUGAAAUUCGUAGAUAUUGGGAAGAACACCAGUGGCGAAGGCGGCUAACUGGUCCAGAUCUGACGCUGAGGUGCGAAAGCGUGGGGAGCAAACAGG